UACGUAGGGUGCGAGCGUUGUCCGGAAUUACUGGGCGUAAAGGGCUCGUAGGUGGUUUGUCGCGUCGUCUGUGAAAUUCCGGGGCUUAACUCCGGGCGUGCAGGCGAUACGGGCAUAACUUGAGUACUGGUAGGGUAACUGGAAUUCCUGGUGAUAGCGGUGAAAUGCGCAGAUAUCAGGAGGAACACCGAUGGCGAAGGCAGGUUACUGGGCAGUUAACUGACGCUGGAGGACGAAA
rnacentral:rRNA from 1 species